AGUGAACGCUGGCGGUAGGCCUAACACAUGCAAGUCGAACGGCAGCACAGUAAGAGCUUGCUCUUACGGGUGGCGAGUGGCGGACGGGUGAGGAAUACAUCGGAAUCUACUUUUUCGUGGGGGAUAACGUAGGGAAACUUACGCUAAUACCGCAUACGACCUACGGGUGAAAGCAGGGGAUCUUCGGACCUUGCGCGAUUGAAUGAGCCGAUGUCGGAUUAGCUAGUUGGCGGGGUAAAGGCCCACCAAGGCGACGGUCCGUAGCUGGUCUGAGAGGAUGAUCAGCCACACUGGAACUGAGACACGGUCCAGACUCCUACGGGAGGCAGCAGUGGGGAAUAUUGGACGAUGGGCGCAAGCCUGAUCCAGCCAUACCGCGUGGGUGAAGAAGGCCUUCGGGUUGUAAAGCCCUUUUGUUGGGAAAGAAAAGCAGCAGGUUAAUACCCCGCUGUUCUGACGGUACCCAAAGAAUAAGCACCGGCUAACUUCGUG
rnacentral:rRNA from 1 species